rnacentral:rRNA from 1 species
CCUACGGGUGGCAGCAGUGGGGAAUAUUGCACAAUGGGGGAAACCCUGAUCCAGCGACGCCGCGUGAGCGAAGAAGGAUUUCGGUAUGUAAAGCUCUAUCAGCAGGGAAGAGAAUGACGGUACAUGACUAAGAAGCCCCGGCUAACUACGUGCCCGCAGCCUCGGGAAUACGUAGGGGGCAAGCGUUAUCCGGAUUUACUGGGGGUAAAGGGAGCGCAGACGGCUGUGCAAGACAGAUGUGAAAGCCCGGGGCUCAACCCCGGGACUGCAUUUGAAACUGUGUGGCUGGAGUGUCGGAGAGGCAAGCGGAAUUCCUAGUGUAGCGGUGAAAUGCGGAGAUAUUAGGAGGAACACCAGUGGCGAAGGCGGCCUGCUGGACGAUGACUGACGUUGAGGCUCGAAAGCGUGGGGAGCAAACAGGAUUAGAUACCCCGGUAGUC